rnacentral:rRNA from 1 species
ACCUGGUCUUGACAUCCGAGACCCUUAGGAAACUAGGGGUGCUUCCAUCUGGAAGAAUCUGGAGACAGGUGCUGCAUGGCUGUCGUCAGCUCGUGUCGUGAGAUGUUGGGUUAAGUCCCGCAACGAGCGCAACCCUGCCUUUAGUUGCCAGCAGUUCGGCUGGGCACUCUAAAGGGACUGCCGGUGUUAAACCGGAGGAAGGUGGGGAUGACGUCAAGUCCUCAUGGCCUUUAUGACCAGGGCUACACACGUACUACAAUGGCCGAUACAAAGGGCAGCGACACUGCGAGGUGAAGCCAAUCCCGUAAAAUCGGUCUCAGUCCGGAUUGGAGUCUGCAACUCGACUCCAUGAAGUUGGAAUCGCUAGUAAUCGUGGAUCAGCAUGCCACGGUGAAUACGUUCCCGGGCCUU